UUAUUUCAUCCCAUGAUUGAUACUGGGCUAGCUGUUAGCUGGCAUGGUUUGAUUAUUCGUUUUCCACUUCACCAAGCACUUAAGGGAUUGGUGCUUGAAUGGAGAAGGUUCUCAUUUCUUUAUUGCUUCUUUGUUUGCGUGUCUCGAAGCUUAUUCCUCUGUGACUUGAUGCUAAUUAAUGUAAUUGAAUUGACAACUUC
rnacentral:lncRNA from 1 species